rnacentral:misc_RNA from 1 species
AGCAUUUAAUGCUUACAAAACUCGAAGCGGCUCAUCAGUUACCGGAGAAUUUAAUGCUUUCCUGAUAUUCAAUGAGCACCAACCAGAUACAGAGAACGGGUAGAAAAGGGGAUCGGAAAGGCAAGGAGAGGUCGGAGGUAGAAAAGGUUGGUAUAAGAGAUCGAGCGAGAAGGUUUCAGGUUGCCAAUCAUAAUGAGAGAUCAGAUAGGGUAACAAGAUUAAGAGAUCGGAUAAAUUGAGAAAAUAGCCAAUAAAGAUCGGAAGGUUGGGAAAAUCAGAAGUUCAUGAGUUACUUCUAACCAUGACCCUUGAUUCGCGAUAUCAAUUCCUCCAUCGUCACAUCUAGGUUAGUUAAAGCAUUUGGGAUACGAUUCAAUCUCCACCAUCAACCCCGUCUUGUAAGGAUAAAUCCGAACUAUUGGAUCUAACGCAGUUAAAGCAUUCUGGUAUGCCA